rnacentral:rRNA from 1 species
GACGAACGCUGGCGGCGUGCUUAACACAUGCAAGUCGAGCGGUAAGGCCCUUUCGGGGGUACGACGAGCGGCGAACGGGUGAGUAACACGUGGGUGACCUGCCCUCAGCUCUGGGAUAAGCCUGGGAAACUGGGUCUAAUACCGGAUAUGACUCCAUGACGCAUGUUGUGGGGUGGAAAGCCUUGUGCGGCUGAGGAUGGGCCCGCGGCCUAUCAGCUUGUUGGUGGGGUGAUGGCCUACCAAGGCGACGACGGGUAGCCGGCCUGAGAGGGCGACCGGCCACACUGGGACUGAGACACGGCCCAGACUCCUACGGGAGGCAGCAGUGGGGAAUCUUGCGCAAUGGGCGAAAGCCUGACGCAGCGACGCCGCGUGAGGGAUGACGGCC